CCUACGGGUGGCUGCAGUGAGGAAUAUUGGUCAAUGGACGAGAGUCUGAACCAGCCAAGUAGCGUGAAGGAUGACUGCCCUAUGGGUUGUAAACUUCUUUUAUAUGGGAAUAAAACAGGGUAUGCAUACCCUCUUGUAUGUACCAUAUGAAUAAGGAUCGGCUAACUCCGUGCCAGCAGCCGCGGUAAUACGGAGGAUGCGAGCGUUAUCCGGAUUUAUUGGGUUUAAAGGGUGCGUAGGCGGAUUUUUAAGUCAGCGGUAAAAUGUCCGGGCUCAACCCGGGCCGGCCGUUGAAACUGGGGAUCUUGAGUGGGCGAGAAGUAUGCGGAAUGCGUGGUGUAGCGGUGAAAUGCAUAGAUAUCACGCAGAACUCCGAUUGCGAAGGCAGCAUACCGGCGCCCGACUGACGCUGAGGCACGAAAGCGUGGGGAUCGAACAGGAUUAGAUACCCCAGUAGUC
rnacentral:rRNA from 1 species